CAAUGAGCGACGAAGUUUGGCUCAUAUCUCGCGCUAGAGCUUGCAUGAAACCUACUAAAAGUGACCCAUAUGCAGCAAAAGCAUGGAUGAUAACAGCCAGAUCUUUAUUUCCGAAUAACUUUUCAAUACAGUUUGAAGCAUACUCUUUAGAAAAAGCUGGGAAGAAUGUCAAGGAGGCAGCAAAGUUGUUAGAGGAAAUGUUUGUAUUGUUUCCAAAUGAGCCUCAACUAUGGGAGGAAAUACAAGAAAUUUUGGAAAUUCUUCAGACAGAAAUGUCUGCUAAUAGCCACAAAAACUUUUUAACAGAGAUAUUUGCUGCAGUCUCCACACCAACACAAUGUCAGAUGUUACUAAGUGUUGCCCAGAAAAUCAGCAAUACCCUAGAGCAGUGUAGACUCCUACUCUUGGCCAUGAGAAAGUUUCCAAAUCUUGUCUUUGAGCAUGGACUUAAACUGUUAGAUACCCUACAACAAGCAGAAUUAGAAGCAAAAAUGAAGUACCCUGUAAACUGUUACAGAAAGCUAUUUGUAUGUGAUGUCCUACCCCUGGUGCUACAGAAAGUGAAAAAGCCAGAGUUACCAGCAGCCCAGAUCUACAGAUGGCUACAGAUGUCUGUUGAGUUUUAUAUCAUGUUUGUCACUCAGUCACCCAGUUUCAAUACAAGUUCCAGCAAUUCUCCAGAGUUGCUGUCCCCCACAAAGUUAAGUAACAGGGUGAGCAUCCCCGGUCUGUUUGACAAGGAGUGUCAGGUGAGUGACCCCUGGGGCAGCCUCCUGAAGCUCAUCAUCUUACUUGGCCAGCUGAUGGACUGGGAUGUACCCCCAGAUCUGUUCAGUGAACCAAGGGAAAUCCAGUACAAGAACAUCUACAGUAUGUAUAACAGAGCUCGCCAGUCUCGCUCACCUGAGCAGACUCGGCAGGUGUUGUACACCACGGUGGUUUUGUUUCUGGAGUGUCUGUACACCUACGUAAGCAGUGUAGACCCACAGUCCUUCCUGGGCCCCAGUGCCAGCCACACUCCACUGGUCCUCAUGGAAAAAUUUGAAAAUGAAAGUGCAGAUGAAGAGCCUCAAGCAAAAAAAGCCAAAGUACAAACGGAGAGCAGUCCCACAAUAGAAGGAGCGGAGAGUAUUAGUAAUGCCAGCCGAAUCAUUAACAGCUUCACCACAGCAUUUAAAUGUUACGAGCUGAUGCACUCAACAGCAGACCUCCAGACAGGUAGGGGGUGUGGCUUAAUUAACAUUAUAAUGCUUCAUAUUAUAUCAUCUAUAUACAUGUGCAGAAUUGUUUAUACACAAAUUUUGUGACAUCUUAUGCCCACAUUAUACACGUCUUAUACUAUGAAGUUGGAUACAUGUAUAUGAAUUAAAGAGAACUUAUACAAAUGAUAUACUGGUACAUGUACUUAAAAAUUGUUUGAAUUUACUGCAUUUGUUAUCAGAUACUACCGGUACAUGUAUUUUGAUCUUUUGUUGCCUUAGAGUUUAUGAAGCUGUGUGAGAUUUGGCACAUGGAGACUUGGACAUGGAUGGGACAUUUCCAGACAGACAUGCUGAUAUAUCAGGGUGCCUUUGCAGAUGCCAUUGCACAUCUACAGAAUUUUUCAUCAACAAUAAAAGAAAAUAUGCAGCUAAGAAGUAACUUACAAAUGGCGUGCUGUUUUUACUGUCUGCAGAAGUAUUCAAAAGCCUGUGAACUGGUUUUGAAUGUCAUCAAAGACCUGCCAUACACGCAUGAUAGACCACCAGCCUCAAAUCUUGCGGAGACAUCCGGAGCUAAGGGGAGACAACUCUGGCUUACCAAGUGCACAGAAUCAGAGAUUCUUCCCUACUGUAUCCAGUUGCUUCUGGCUGCUCUCAAGUCUAAAGCAUUCUCAGCAAAAGGGGAUGACACUUCAUUGGGUCACAUGAUCGUAUUACUACAGUACGACUGGCCAAAGUCGGAGGCACUUUUCUUCGAAGUAUUGAAGAAAAUCAAACAGCAGAACAGCCUUGUAUAUAAUAUGUUCUUCAACUAUGUCAUAAAUGUUGACAUUUUAGAGGAAAUAGCAUUUUUGAAAACACUUGAAGGAGGAAAAGUAAAUCUGGACAUCCUGCCAACCAGCACUAAAGUCAUAGCCCAACAACGAACGGUGACAAGAGGUGUGAACAAAGUGGUAAAGGAGGACUUCAAGCUGACAAUGGUGAAACAAAUGGGGCGUAGUGACGAACCAGUGGAGAAGUUAAUCAGGACAUUUCUGACAAAUGAAAGAAUCAGCAUAUUAAAAGCUUUAGCAUGAG
rnacentral:misc_RNA from 1 species